GGGUCAGUAGGUUGGUCGUGCCACCGGUACGUACUGGUCUCACUGACUCCUCCUUCCUGAAGAACCGUAAUGCCAUUAAUUUGGUGUUGCGGGGAAACAGGACUGUUACUUAGAAAAAAUUAGAGUGUUUAAAGCAAGCUAACGCUUGAAUACAUUAGCAUGGAAUAAUGAAAUAGGACGAUCGAUCCUAUUUUGUUGGUUUCUAGGAUUGACGUA
rnacentral:rRNA from 1 species